AGGGUAAAUUGCAUUCAAAUUAUGAUCAGUUGGGCGACACUUUGGUUCUCAAACUUUAUUAACUAAUAUUGAUGUAUCGCUAACCGAGAAUUGUAAUUAAUGAUGCAUCAAUAAUUAAUUAAACUCCUAUGUCACUAUAACAUUAGUGAUGCAUCAAUAUUUACUCAACUAAAUUAGAUCGUACAACUUAAUUAUAAUAAUUCUAAAAAUUUGAAUAAAAAAUUAUAAUAAAUUAAAAUUUGAGUUUUAAAGUGCCUUCCCCCACCGCACGGUCUUAGGACCAAGCCUUUAUAAUUUACCGUAUAAUUUAUAAAUAAAUAAACAUAAAAGUUGUUGGUUUGUAUAGCAUUUAUGUUUUUUAAAUUAAAAGCACGCGACAUGAAAAUUAGGACUAUCUACUAGAGUAAGUCUACUGUAUCACACUUAUACCAUAUCAUUAAUAACUAACCAAUGUUAUCUCUUUGUUUGAGAAAAAAAUGUAAUAAAAAUAAUUUUCUAGUAUGAUGGAGGGAUAAAAUUAAGGAAGAAGGUCUGAUUGAUUGAAAAUAUCAUAUCAGUAAUAUAACCGAUGCAUUAUUGACUUUUUCCAUCUCACGAAUCAUAAAGCAUAAAUAAAAAACCUCACCUACAUGUAGGGCCCGUUUGUUUUGGUGUAAGUGGAGUGAUGGAACUCAAGUUCCAUCACUUUCGUUAUUUGUUUUAAUGUAAGUGAAAAAUAUAAUGUAACUCAAGUUACGUUAGAGCUCCACUUCACCUACUCUCGACUUCCUCCUCUAAAGUGUCAAACUCGAUUUUCACUACACUCAACCUCCUCUAAAAAAUUUAUUAAACAGUAAAACCUAAACUCUACUUCCUUUAUAAUGGGUUAGAAUUACCUUAUUUAUAAUAAAUUAGAAUUAUCUUUAAAUAAUUAAAAAAAAAAUAAUUAUAUAAUAGAUUAAAUUUUAUAGUGGUAAAUUUAUUACUAUAUUUAUGAGAUAAUGAGAUCCACUUACUUACAUCAAAACAACCAACGGAACUCAAAAAAUUAAUUUUACCAGCACCAAGUUACAUCAAAACAAACAACAGAAGUGAUUGAAUUUAACUUUCAGAUGGUACGAGUUACGUCAAAACAAACAACAAAAUAAUAAUCACACUUCAGAAAAACUCAAUCACCACUACACUCGACUUACGUUGAAUCUACAAAUACGUCAAUCCAAACGCUCCCGUACAGCACAUAGCAAUCUCUUAUUAAUUAUUAUUAACAACACACAU
rnacentral:lncRNA from 1 species